rnacentral:rRNA from 1 species
AAGAAAUUUAAUAAUUUUGAAAAUGGAUUUUUUUUGUUUUGGCAAGAGCAUGAGAGCUUUUACUGGGCAAGAAGACAAGAGAUGGAGAGUCCAGCCGGGCCUGCGCUUAAGUGCGCGGUCUUGCUAGGCUUGUAAGUUUCUUUCUUGCUAUUCCAAACGGUGAGAGAUUUCUGUGCUUUUGUUAUAGGACAAUUAAAACCGUUUCAAUACAACACACUGUGGAGUUUUCAUUAUCUUUGCAACUUUUUCUUUGGGCAUUCGAGCAAUCGGGGCCCAGAGGUAACAAACACAAACAAUUUUAUUUAUUCAUUAAAUUUUUGUCAAAAACAAGAAUUUUCGUAACUGGAAAUUUUAAAAUAUUAA